CAGCUUAGCGAGAGUCGUUUCCCUCGGGCCUUGUGGCAAGUUGUGGGGUCUUGCGCCCGCCAUCUUGGCUUCCGCCGAUUCUUCCAGCAGGGACAUGUGCUGUGUCGCAGGGCCACCGGGUGGUCGUGAUUGCGGUGUGAGUGCUGGUGCCGGGAUAACCCCCACCGGCAAGGGGGGGGACGGGAGCCCCUGUUGCGUCCACCUUUAGCAGUCGGAUAGCCAGCAGGAAGAUAGGCCACUUCUUCCACGCCAGCACCCCCAUGUAGGCCGCAGUUGUGUGCCGAGAACAGGCUGCUCAUUUUGUGUCCAGGAGUCUUUCAGGUGUUGCAGAAGUAAAGUCUGCUUUUGCCUGCUUUCAGGUAGUCGAGUUUGCUAAUGUAAAGGUUCUGAAUUAGGGCUCUGCUGGAGUGUUUUACACGGAGCACACUCUGCAUGCGGCCAUCUCGGUUGGCAGCCAGGCCCCGCCCCC